CCUACGGGUGGCAGCAGUGAGGAAUAUUGGUCAAUGGACGAGAGUCUGAACCAGCCAAGUAGCGUGAAGGAUGACUGCCCUAUGGGUUGUAAACUUCUUUUAUAUGGGAAUAAAAUGUUCCACGUGUGGGAUUUUGUAUGUACCAUAUGAAUAAGGAUCGGCUAACUCCGUGCCAGCAGCCGCGGUAAUACGGAGGAGCCGAGCGUUAUCCGGAUUUAUUGGGUUUAAAGGGAGCGUAGGGGGGUUGUUAAGUCAGGUGUGAAAGUUUGCGGCUCAACCGUAAAAUUGCAGUUGAAACUGGCAGUCUUGAGUACAGUAGAGGUGGGCGGAAUUCGUGGUGUAGCGGUGAAAUGCUUAGAUAUCACGAAGAACUCCGAUUGCGAAGGCAGUUCACUGGACUGCAACUGACACUGAGGCUCGAAAGUGUGGGUAUCAAACAGGAUUAGAUACCCCUGUAGUC
rnacentral:rRNA from 1 species